CAAAGGUUUGGUCCUAGCCUUUCUAUUAAUUUUAAUUAAACCUACACAUGCAAGUUUCCGCCUACCCGUGAGAAUGCCCUCAAAACUAUAUUCUAAGUCAAAAGGAGCUGGUAUCAGGCACACUAUAAGUAGCCCACUACACCUUGCUUAACCACACCCCCAAGGGACACAGCAGUGACUAACAUUAAGCCAUAAACGAAAGUUUGACUAAGUUAUAAUUAUUUAGGGUUGGUAAAUUUCGUGCCAGCCACCGCGGUCAUACGAUUAACCCAAAUUAAUAGACUAACGGCGUAAAGCGUGUUUAAAUUAUUAAAACCAUAAUAAAGUUAAUACUUAACUAAACUGUAAUACGUUGUAGUUAAUACUAAAAUAUACUACCAAAGUGACUUUAAUAUAAUUGAAAACACGACAGCUAAGGUACAAACUGGGAUUAGAUACCCCACUAUGCUUAGCCCUAAACCUAAAUUAUUAAUUAACAAAAUAACUCGCCAGAGAACUACUAGCAAAUGCUUAAAACUCAAAGGACUUGGCGGUGCCCUAAACCCAUCUAGAGGAGCCUGUUCUAUAAUCGAUAAACCCCGAUAUACCUCACCCUCUCUUGCCAAUACAGUCUAUAUACCGCCAUCGUCAGCUCACCCCACAGGGUCAAAAAGUAAGCAAAAUCAUUAUCCAUAAAAACGUUAGGUCAAGGUGUAACAUAUGAGAAGGAAAGAAAUGGGCUACAUUCUCUAAUUUAGAGAAUCAACGAAUCAUCUUAUGAAAUUAAGAUGCCUGAAGGAGGAUUUAGUAGUAAAUUAAGAAUAGAGUGCUUAAUUGAAAUAGGCAAUAGGGCGCGCACACACCGCCCGUCACCCUCCUCAACGUAACAAUAAACUAUUAAUAAUAAAUUAACAGUAACAUAAAGAGGAGAAAAGUCGUAACAUGGUAAGUGUACUGGAAAGUGCACUUGGAUUAUC
rnacentral:ncRNA from 1 species